UAGGGAAUCUUCCACAAUGGACGCAAGUCUGAUGGAGCAACGCCGCGUGAGUGAAGAAGGUCUUCGGAUCGUAAAACUCUGUUGUUAGAGAAGAACACGAGUGAGAGUAACUGUUCAUUCGAUGACGGUAUCUAACCAGCAAGUCACGGCUAACUACGUGCCAGCAGCCGCGGUAAUACGUAGGUGGCAAGCGUUGUCCGGAUUUAUUGGGCGUAAAGGGAACGCAGGCGGUCUUUUAAGUCUGAUGUGAAAGCCUUCGGCUUAACCGGAGUAGUGCAUUGGAAACUGGAAGACUUGAGUGCAGAAGAGGAGAGUGGAACUCCAUGUGUAGCGGUGAAAUGCGUAGAUAUAUGGAAGAACACCAGUGGCGAAAGCGGCUCUCUGGUCUGUAACUGACGCUGAGGUUCGAAAGCGUGGGUAGCAAACAGGA
rnacentral:rRNA from 1 species